UUGUAAAUGAUAAUCAUUACAAGAUUCUUUACAGAAUUGAAAAAAUGUAUUGCCAUAUUUUGGGCAUUAAUCUUAGAUGAAUCAGUGAUAUAUUAAUAGGUCCACAGUCCGAAUUAUUAAUGGAGAGAGGCAGAUCAUCUGGUCAACAAGAAGCAUAAUCGAUCAAGAGAUAUUAUGGAAACUAAAAUAGGACCCAAGAUGGACCGCAGUGGAACUCCAGAAUGAAUAGAUAAUGUCAGAUCUUUUGGAAUUGAAAUUGAUAAAUUGUGAGAGACUAAUCAGAUAUGAAAUAAAAAAUUUACAAGCAGUA